UACGUAGGGUGCAAGCGUUAAUCGGAAUUACUGGGCGUAAAGCGUGCGCAGGCGGUUAUGCAAGUCAGAUGUGAAAUCCCCGGGCUCAACCUGGGAACUGCAUUUGUGACUGCAUUGCUGGAGUGCGGCAGAGGGGGAUGGAAUUCCGCGUGUAGCAGUGAAAUGCGUAGAUAUGCGGAGGAACACCGAUGGCGAAGGCAAUCCCCUGGGCCUGCACUGACGCUCAUGCACGAAAGCGUGGGGAGCAAACAGG
rnacentral:rRNA from 1 species